rnacentral:tRNA from 1 species
GCUGUGGCUCAGCGGAACAGCGUCUGCUCGGCACGCAGAAGGCCCCAGGUUCGAUCCCCAACGUCUCCA